rnacentral:rRNA from 1 species
UACGAAGGGGGCUAGCGUUGCUCGGAAUCACUGGGCGUAAAGCGCACGUAGGCGGAUGUGUCAGUCAGGGGUGAAAUCCCGGGGCUCAACCUCGGAACUGCCUUUGAUACAGCACGUCUCGAGUCCGGAAGAGGUGGGUGGAAUUCCUAGUGUAGAGGUGAAAUUCGUAGAUAUUAGGAAGAACACGGUGGCGAAGGCGGCCCACUGGUCCGGUACUGACGCUGAGGUGCGAAAGCGUGGGGAGCAAACAGG